UUGAAGUGCAGUGAAAUAAAGGACAUCCACAUCUGCCUUUGUGGAAGAAAGUGAGGAGAAAAAUGUUUAUGCCACGUGCUCAAGGCAUACAGAGGUUGCAUUGUGAAUGUCCAAGCAGGACAAGAAUCCAGCUGGACUCCUGCUUAGUUGCCAGCUGGUACCAACAAUUUUCAUCUACUCAAGAUUAAUGGAUCCAGAGGUUCAUCUAAGUUAGAACUAGGACCAUGUGGAGAUUUUGAAAGAAUCCUGCACCAAGGAAUGUUCUGAGGAGUCUGACACUAAGGUCAUGCAUCCAGCAUGACUUCCUUCUAAAUUAGGCAAAGCUGGACUGCACUUCCCAUGUCAGGUGGCCCAUAAGGGACAAAUUGUUAGCACCCAAGGAAGUCUGCAGCCUGUGGGACUGAAGGUCAUCCAAGGAGCCUGUGCCAAGUCUGUGCCAAAAGUACGAAGGAGGAGCCAUGAGAAAUGGAAGAGCCUCAGCAGGAAAAAAUCUGAAAUCAAAGAGCUCUAGAAGUCUGGAGCCUAAAGCCAGAGCAUUACCAAGUGUUCAGCUCAUAUUCAACAUUUCAGUGCAAUAUUAGUGAUGACAACACAAUAAAGUAACGUAUGACAGCGACAGCACUAAAACCAUGGGGUUCUGGUGUGAAGGGAGCAGUGAUCCUAAUUUAAAUCAGGUCACUUCCUGGCUCUACACAGCUCUGAAAACACAGAUGUCAUUGUAGAAAGGAGCCUGGAAACAUUAUUGUUCACAUGUAAUUCUGGAGGUUACACUGGGAUUAUGUGUUUUCUGUCCUCCUCAGCUCAGUUAUGCAGGAAGGAGAACAGCUACUUGUUAACAUUGAGGCAUUACUGCUCCCACAAGCCAAACACAGUGUGACAAACCCUUCAGUACCACAAAAAAUGAUGCAAUUAGGGACGACUACUGCACAGACUUUUUUUUUUUUAACUUUAUGAAACAUUUAAAUUCAAAUGGGUGAUAUUUAGUGAUAAAUUCUUAAAAUGCAUACAUCUUUUUCACCUGUACUUUUUGUUUAAUUCUUUUAUGUUUGGUUGGUUGGCUUGGGGGGUUUGGUUUUCUUUUUAGAGACGUACUUUGAGAAUAUGAAACCUUCUCUUACUGUUUUACUACUAAAGACUCUCCUUUAGUAUCUGUUGUAGUACAAAAGCAAAGGCUGGAAACUCUGAUUACAGCAUUUACAGAUUCAGAAUCCCCAUAAAACAAAUCCAGUCCUGGUCCAAAGGCAUUAUAAGCUGAGUGAAUGAUAACAACAAUCUAAAUAUAAACAAGCUUCCAUAAUAAUUGCUAAUGCUUUCUAAAUUAGGUUUACCCAAGCAUAUAUUUCCUCGUAGGUAGUUUUGAACUGAACUCACUCACAGGAGUGUGUCCACCAGGAAACAGAAUAGCUCAGAAGGUGUGAAUGAUUCAGAUGCAUCAUCAGGAACAACAAGAUCCCAAUGCAUUUAGUCAUAUUUCACUGCCUCCUACAUAAUUAAUUUAAUUUAUUUGCUAUGCUCUCCAUCCACUUCUCCAUUAUUACGAAAAGAACCGAGGCUUGAAAAUCAUCUGAGUACCCAUGGAUAUGGAAAUACAUUGUGACAGGUGACUGUGUGAAAAGACAUGUCUGGGGUGAGAUUUAUUUCAGCUUGCUGUGUCCACACACUUUUUUAUAGCAGCUAUCCUGUCUCUUUAAUCGGUGAGUCUCUCCUCAGAGAGGAAAAAAUGCCCUGUGGCAUUGAUUGUAUAUUGGGUUUGGAUCCAUUAAGUCCCUCUAAUUCCCGUUGGCUAAGCAUGCUGGAUAUAAGUCACACUAGGCACAGAGCCUUUGGGAAAAUUCAGUACAUUGGAGUCCAGGUCCAAAGGCUUUAAAUUAUUAGAUUCAUUCUUAGGGACCAGAAACUGUGUGACUCAGGUAAACAAACCUCUCUGUAUUCCUGGAAUUGAAGGCAAUCAAAUUUCAUUUUCUUUUAGAGAGUUUAUUUGCUAUUAGUGACACAAAUUGAGUUCAUUAUCAAAUAUUCCUGUGGGACAACCUAGACUGGGCCUUUGUAUGUGCAGCACAUGGUGCUCAACACAGCAAAUUAACCUGGGAGAGCUUUAUUCUCCAUUGCUCCAGGCUACACUGCAACUGGAAGUCUUAGGGGGAUUUGAGGGUCCUGAAUGAAAGAUUAUUUCUCAGUUUAAAAUAGGUGUUGCUGACUAUCUGAAUGUGUUAUUGCCAAAAGAAUAAUGAUUCUCCCCUCUAUCUUUUUGCAUUUUUUUUAAUGACUAAAAUAAAUUACUUUGACAUACAAACCUUAAUUAUAAAAAGCAUUACCAAACUCUAUGAUGGCAUAGGAAAUACAGUUAUUAAAAUCACAAGUGGCUCUAAGCACAGAAGAGUCUCGAGCAGGUUGGAAGACAGGUCUACGAUUCACAAUGAUUUUGGCAAACUGAGAAAAUACUGCAGACAAAAAAAUAAGAUGCCAUUCAAUAAAAACAGCUGUAAAGUUUAACACCUGGGCAGGAAGAAUAAACUGCAAAAAUACUGACUAGGGAACAAUUCACUAGGCAAUGGUGGUGCUGAAAGGAAACUGGGGACUGGAAUAGCUCACCAACUCCAAGCUUUUGAAAAAAAUAAGGAAAAGGUCAAAGGAAGAUGCAUAAGUGGGAAUAUUUUCUAUUGGAUAGAGGACACUGGCCUCUUCACUUCACAGGUGGGACCAGAGCAUCAGCUGUGGUUCAUAUUGAGAAGUGCACUCCA